rnacentral:rRNA from 1 species
GACGAACGCUGGCGGCGUGCCUAAUACAUGCAAGUCGAGCGGAUGGAAGGGAGCUUGCUCCCUAAAGUUAGCGGCGGACGGGUGAGUAACACGUGGGCAACCUGCCUGUAAGACUGGGAUAACUUCGGGAAACCGGAGCUAAUACCGGAUGCGUUCUUUUCUCGCAUGAGGAAAGAUGGAAAGAUGGUUUCGGCUAUCACUUACAGAUGGGCCCGCGGCGCAUUAGCUAGUUGGUGGGGUACUGGCCUACCAAGGCGACGAUGCGUAGCCGACCUGAGAGGGUGAUCGGCCACACUGGGACUGAGACACGGCCCAGACUCCUACGGGAGGCAGCAGUAGGGAAUCUUCCGCAAUGGACGAAAGUCUGACGGAGCAACGCCGCGUGAGCGAAGAAGGCCUUCGGGUCGUAAAGCUCUGUUGUCAGGGAAGAACAAGUGUCAGAGUAACUACUGGCACCUUGACGGUACCUGACCAGAAAGCCACGGCUAACUACGUGCCAGCCGCCGCCGUAACAC